AUUUUUCAUAGUUUUUGUACAGCUUCCUUUUUUUCUUGUACUCCUUGUCUUCUUUUUUGUAAGUUUAUUUAAUGUUCUGCUUCCUCUUCAUCUUGAAAAAUACAUUCAGUAAUGGGAUUGCUUUCCUUGAAUAAAUUAUAUGAGGAUUCUUGGGGACCAAAUGUACUUACUUUACAUUUGGUGCCUAUGCAAAAUUGCCGGAAACACCAUUUAGAAAUCCUAGGUUCUGGGUCAAUGCUUCUCUUCAGUAGAUGAGUUUAAGUAUCUAAUCCAUCAAUUCUAAAAUUGCAGGAGAAGUAUGUAAAAUGACUGACUGCUUGCUUCAUCUGUUGUUAUUGACUGCAAUAGUGGUUUGUUUUACUUGUUCUAGCAUUUACCAGUAUAGUACAUUAGUACUGUAUUUCUUUCCAGCAAUCCUGGUUGAGACCAGUUUUUGUGACUCUACCAAACUUGUUGUGACUGUUGAUUUAUCCACAUAAAUUUAUUUGGUUACAGGCUCAAAAAAAAAUAUUGUGGUAGGUUUUGCCAAAGCUAUGGACUUGGUUCACUUGAUGUGUUGUAUUAUUCCAUUCCUUGACCAAAAAGUAGCAUCAUUCAAUUGAAAAAUGCAUAGAUAGUAAGGAAAAAGGAAGAUUAGAUUUGAUGUUUGUAAAGUUUAGAAGGUCUGACUUCUUUCUUCAUUUUGCUUUCCUGCUUCUUCUCAUACUUGAUCUUUCCUGCUUCAUUUUGUACCUUUACUAUUAUUAUUGUUACAAUGGAUCAAAAGGAGAUCAGGGUCAUCAGGAGUGUGUUAGAUGUGGCUUAGAAUCCUUUUGUGGAAUGUAAGGGGAGUAAAUGACAGAGACAAGAGAAAAUUGAUAAAGAAUAUGAUUAAAACACAGAAGGUGGACUUAGUGUGUCUCUAAGAAACAAAAACUCAGGAGAUGACUAAUGGAAUUGUAAGAAGCCUCGGGGUAGGAAGAUAUUUGGAGUGGGGGGCCUUAAAUUCAAGGGGGGCGGCGGGGGGUUGGGGUUGUAGUUUCCUGUCGCUUUAAGAAUUGUGAAGAUGGAUUCUGCUAGAUUUUUUCAGGAGUGUAUGGGCCCACUGUGAAAGUGGAGAGAGAAGAUUUUUUGAGUGAGCUGGGGGCCAUUAGAGGUUUGUCGAAUGAGCUGUGGUGUGUAGCAGGAGACUUCAACAUGAUGAGAUUCCCUUCUGAGCGGAGUAGAGGAGGUUGUAUGUCCCCGACGAUGAGGAGAUUCUCAGAGGUGGUUGAGGAAUUAGAGCUAAGGGACUUGCCUCUUCAAGGGGGGUUGUUCACGUGGAGUGGAGGUCUUAAUAAUCGGUUAAAGUCAAGAAUUGAUCAGUUCCUCAUUUAUGAGGAUUGGGAAGUUCAUUUACAGGGGGCCAUACAAGUUGUAUUGGCUAGGCCAGUUUCUGAUCACUCUCCGAUUCUUUUUGAUGGGGAAGGGAUGAGGAGAGGGUCCACGCCCUUUAGAUUUGAGAAUAUGUGGGGUUUAAAGAAGUGUUGAGAAAGUGGUGGGAGGGGAUUCAAGUUAGUGGGUCAGCGAGCUACAUUCUGACUGAAAAAUUGAAGGCUUUAAAACCGAUUUUGAGAAGUUGGAAUAAAGACGUUUUUGGUCAGAUUGAGUCUAAGAAGCAGGAUGUAUGAAAUUUAAUGGAUUAUUGGGAUAAGGAAGAGGGGUUUCACUCUUUGUCGUUGGAAGAAGAGGAGGCUAGGAAGGAGGCAAGAGAGAUGUAUAAGAAAUGGGUUCUUUUAGAAGAAGUGUCAUGGAGGCAGAAGUCUAGGGAAAUUUGGUUGAAGGAGGGGGAUAGAAACACUAUUUUUUCAUCAGAUGACUAAUGCUCAUAGAAGAAAGAAUCAGCUGACCAGAGUAAAAGUGAAUGGGAGGUGGUUGAUUGAGGAAAGUGAAAUCAAAGAGGAGGUGAGCAGAGCUUUCCAAGGUAUGUUGGUUGAUCCUGGUGAUUGGAAGCCCGGUAUAGAUGGUUUAAAUUUUGAGAGGCUGGAAGAGGUUGAUGUGGAGGGGUUGGAGAAGCCUUUCUCGGAGGAGGAGGUUUUUGGAGCACUGUCAGGCUGUUGCGAAGAGAAAGCACCAGGCCCUAACAGUUUCUCAAUGGCAUUCUAGCAGUUUUCUUGGGAUUUUGUGAAGGAGGAGGUUAUGAAUUUUUUCAGACAGUUCCAUGAGGCUGGGAGAUUGUUAGAAGUCUGAAUGCAACCUUUUUAGUGUUGAUUCCUAAGAAAGGGGGGGCUGAGGACUUGAAGGAUUUUAGGCCAAUUAGCUUGGUGGGAGGGCUGUACAAGUGGUUAGCUAAGGUGUUGACUAACAAUAUGAAAGGAAUGUUAGCCAAGGUGAUCUCAACGUCUCAAAAUGCUUUUGUGGAGGGGUAGCAGAUUAUGGAUGCAGUGUUAAUCGCUAAUGAGGCAAUAGAUUCCAUUUUGAAAAGUAAUAGAGGGGCAAUUCUUUGCAAAUUAGACAUUGAGAAAGCCUAUGAUGAUGUGGACUGGUCAUUUCUUUUAGCGGUAUUGGAAAAGAUGGGGUUUGGGGAAGGGUGGUGUAGUUGGAUAAAGUAGUGUUUAUCCAUUGUUAGAUUUUCAGUCUUGGUGAAUGGAAGCCCUGCUAGUUUUUUCCAGAGCUCAAAGGGUUUAAGGCAAGGAGACCCUCUCUCGCCUUAUUUAUUCGUAGUAGUCAUGGAGGUUUUUAGUUGUUUGUUGAAAAGAGCAGUUGCUGGAGGUUAUUUGACACCGUGUUCGGUUCGGGGAAGAAGGGGUGAAGGGGUCCAGAUCUCCCAUUUAUUGUUUGCUGAUGACACACUGAUUUUCUGUGAGGCUAAAGAGGAGCAGUUGACAUAUUUGUACUGGCUAUUAAUGUGGUUUGAGGCAAUGUCAGGGUUAAGAGUGAAUUUGGAAAAAAGUGAAUUGAUUCCAAUUGGUAGAGUUGAGAAUGUGGAAGAGUUGGUUGAUGAGUUCAGUUAUAAAGUGGGAAAUUUGCCCUCCACCUACCUAGGAAUGCCUUUGGGUGCUCCUUUUAAAUCUGUUGGUGCAUGUGAUGGAAUAGAAGAAAGAAUCUGAAAGAGAUUGGCUAUGUGGAAACGGCAGUAUAUCUCAAAAGGGGGGAGGAUUACCUUAAUUCGAAGUACCUUAUCCAAUUUAUCGAUCUAUUUUAUGUCUCUUUUCCAGCUGCCAAGGGUGGUUAGGAUGAGACUAGAACAGAUUCAAAGGGACUUUCUAUGGGGUGGUGGGGCUCUUGAGCAAAAACCGCACUUAGUAAGGUGGCCGAUUGUGUGUGUAGACAAAAGUAAAGGAGGGUUGGGGGUUAAGAGUCUUGGUUCUUUCAAUAGGGCUCUCCUUGGCAAGUGGGUUCGGCGUUUUGCAAACGAAAAAAAGGUCCUUUGGAACCAAGUGAUUAGAAGGAAAUAUGGGGAGGAAAGAGGGGGUUGGAGAUCUUAUGAGGCUAGGGAGGCCUAUGGAGUUGGGUUAUGGAAAGCUAUAAGUAAGAUGGGACAGCUAGUAACCCCUCUUUUUGGUUUUGUGGUGGGGGAUGGGAAGAAUGUGAGUUUUUGGAAAGAUAAGUGGUGUGGAACCACCCCUUUUUGUUAGGCUUUCCCUUCAUUAUUUGCUCUAGCAACUUCAAAAGAGGCUUGGGUAAAUGAAGUUUGGACAGCCGAGAGGGAAAGGGGGGGAAAUUGGACUCCUCGUUUCAAUAGGCCUUUUAAUGAUUGGGAGAUGGAAGAAGUGGGAAGACUGCUUUGUUGCUUGGAUGGGAAGAUGGUUAGGGUGAGGUGGAUGGAUUCAAAGGGUGGGGCUUUUUGGGUAAAAUCGUUGUAUAGGGCUUUGCAGCCGGUGUCUAUUUCUUCCCUUCGAAGAUUAUUUGGAAUUCUUAUGUGCAGCCCAAGAUAAGCUUCUUCACGUGGGAGGCUUCUUGGGGAAGAGUUCUAACCUUGGACUGUUUACAAAAGACGGGUUGGGCUUUGGCAAAUAGGUGCUUUUUGUGCCAAACGUGUGGGGAGUCGAUUGACCACCUCCUCCUUCAUUGUGAAAGAACAAGGGAAGUGUGGACGUUGUUCCUCUCUUGUUUUGGAGUUUCUUGGGUCUUUCCUUAUUCGGUAAAGGAAACCCUUUUAGGAUGGAGGGGCUCUUUUGUGGGUAAGAAGAGGAAGGUGGCGUGGCAGUUGGGACCGUUAUGCUUGUUUUAGGUCAUUUGGAAGGCUAGGAAUACAAUUGCUUUUGAGGACGGUGUGUUGUCCAUUCAAAAGUUGAAAGUUUCUUUUGUGUAUUUACUUUGGUCGGAAACCAAAUUGUGGAUAAAAAAUGGUCCUUCGACCUUAAUAGAUUUUAUAAAUUGGGUGUGUUUGCGAUAAGGGAGAAGGUUUUUUUGUGUUUUCCUUGUUGUUUGGGUCCUUUUGUAUGGGGGUGAGUUUGUCUAUUCUGUAAUUCUGUGAGUCACUUCUUUAGCGCUUCUUUGCUAUACAAUUUUCUGCUUAUUGAUAAAAAAAAAUUAUUAUUAAUAUAACAUAUUUUUCGUUUCUGAUAAAAAAAGAAAUGUUCUCAUUGAAGUCUUUUUCUUCUCUCUUUUUUGAUAACUGGGGAGACCCUCAUCAAUCCUCACUUGGUGCAAGGACUUCAGAUAAGCCCCACAUACAUGCCAUUACCUGCAAACUACACCAGCUGAAAUAAAAGAGGAGAACUUUUAAGUCAAAUAUUCCACACCCAUCUGAUCAUGUUGACUCUUGUCUCACUAAAUCUCUUCCUGGUUAACAUUUAGUUCUGUUGGCCUUGAAAUAUUGCUUUUUCCAUUACCAGUGUAAACAUGUCAGAUAUGAAAUAGAGUGCUUGUGGAUCUAUAUGGAUUCUUUCUAUGGAAGUAAAUGAAAGUACAUCUCUUUUGUGGCCUA